UCCUAUAAUUUGGCGGUAAGCCUAACAGGGGCAAGUCGAACGAAGCCUUCGGGCUUAGNGGCGGACGGGAGAGUAACGCGUGAGAAUCAGCCUUCACGACGGGGAGUAAACAGUUGGAAACGACUGCUAAUACCCGAUAUGCCGAGAGGUGAAAUCUUGUUUGGCCUGAAGAUGAGCUCGCGUCUGAUUAGCUAGUUGGCUGGUGUUAGGGACCACCAAGGCGACGAUCUGUAGCUGGUCUGAGAGGAUCAGCAGCCACAGUGGGACUGAGACACGGCCGAGACUCCUACGGGAGGCAGAAGUGGGGAAUUUUCCGCAAAGGGCGAAAGCCUGACGGAGCAAUACCGCGUGAGGGAAGAAGGUCUUUGGGUUGUAAACCUCUUUUCUCAGGCCAGAAUAUUGACCGUACCUGAGGAAUAACCACCGGCUAACUCCGUGCCAGCAGCCGCGGUAAAACGGAGGGUGCAAGCGUUAUCGGGAAUUAUUGGGGCGUAAAGAGAUCCGUAGGUGGUCAUGCAAGUCUGCUGUCNAAGGCCACAGGAUAACNGAG
rnacentral:rRNA from 1 species